UAGCAUGUCGAGGCAUUGCAAUCAAUGGGGAUUUCAUGCAGCCCUCUAAUAUAAGGCAGCAGUAUUGAGGCUGAAUAACUGGGGGAACCAAAAACACGUAUUCCGACAAGGCCCUGUACACCCAGCUGUGCUUUUACCGGUACAUUUUUGAUGUGGACUAUGCAAUGGAGAAAGUUAUUACUGAUCAAGAGAAAGAAAGCAUGAAGAGGAAGCUGACCAAAAAUGAGACAGAGGUUUACAGAAGGUUGAAGAACACAGUAGACAGAUUUCUGUCCAUGAGCAGCUAUUCUGAAGUAAACCUUGGCAAACUGUUUCAGACCUUCAGUAUAGUGAAAUCUGUGGGAGAUCCCAGUAAUGAAAGACAAUGAUUAAGUGAAAAUGGUGGGAGAAGAGAGGUUUGUUGUCCUUUAAAAAUAAUAAUCUCUCUUUUCUCUUCUGGCUUUCCCAUUCUAAAAUACAAUACUCUGAUUUCAGCAUACAUAAAAUACAGAUGUGUUUUAAUCAUCUUAGUUUCUCACUAGUGGAAAAAAACGUAAAGAUAAAAACAGAAUACAGUGUUUUUCUGGACCACCUGAAUAGUUGAGUUUGUUAUAUAUAUUUGUUGUAUCUAGACCUAUGAGGGAAAAAGGGGUGGGGGAAUUGCUACUUUAAUUGAAUAAUUCCCAGUGAGAGUUGCUGGAAUGUAAGUGAUCCUAGACUUUGCUCCAGGGUAUUUAGUAGAGGUGCUCUCAAGAAGAGAGGUUAGUAGAGGUCUCAGUAGGAGCACUAAUGUUUUGCCUUUUCAUAGUUUAUCUACUUUCCCAUCGUAAACAUACCAAUUAAAAACAAUACUAAACCUAAAAGCCUCCUAAUGUCCCAAUACCUUCAUCUGAUGGGAGCUUUGCUUUUAAGAUUUAUAUAUAAUGGUACUGAACAAAGGAUGGCAAUUUUAUGACUUGUAGUUCCCAAAAAUAGAAAACCAUUUUUUCUGUUUUAAAUGUUAUUUCUUUGUACUUAAACAUAAGUUAUGUCUUGCUAUUCUACAGAAAUAAAUAUAAGUAGUGAGCCCACCAAAUAUACAUACCAAGCAAAUAGAUAUCAAUCUUUAUUGUACUGUACACAAAAAACUCAGAUUAUAUAUAAACAGUCAAUGACAAAUAUGUGGGUACAAUGCAGUGUAGCCAAAAAAUAUUAGUGUUAUGUCAUAAAAAGUUAUGGCCAUACUAAAGUUGUAAUAGUUUUGCAAACAAAUCUUAUUGCCUGUUUACUGCCAGUAAAAUGACAAACACAAAUGACAAAAUAAUUACCAUUAAAAUUGUCGGCUCUGGAGGAGGAAAAAUGUAAGGUUCUUUAUACUUUUCAGUAAGUAUUAAAUUCUUUGUUAGUUUUACUGGGUCAUAUUUUUGUUAAUUUUUUGAAACUAUAAAAUGCUUUUAAAAAUGUGUAACACUAUACAAUGUAAAGUUUCAUAUUUCUUGAAGGAAAAAAUAAAGUUUUCUAGUGAAAGAAA